AACGAACGCUGGCGGCAUGCCUAACACAUGCAAGUCGAACGAUACCUUCGGGUCUAGUGGCGCACUGGUGCGUAACUCGGUGGAACCUGCCCUUAGGUUCGGAAGAACUCCCCAAAGGGGUGCUAAUACCGGAUAAUGUCUUCGGACCAAAGAUUUAUCGCCUUUGGAUGGGCCCGCGUUGGAUUAGCUAGUUGGUAGGGUAAAAGCCUACCAAGGCGACGAGGCAUAGCUGGUCUGAGAGGAUGAUCAGCCACACUGGGACUGAGACACGGCCCAGACUCCUACGGGAGGGAGCAGUGGGGAAUAUUGGACAAUGGGCGAAAGCCUGAUCCAGCAAUGCCGCGUGAGUGAUGCAGGCCUUAGGGUUGUAAAGCUCUUUUACCCGGGAUGAUAAUGACAGUACCGGGAGAAUAAGCUCCGGCUAACUCCGUG
rnacentral:rRNA from 1 species